rnacentral:rRNA from 1 species
GGAGCUUGCUCCCAAAAGUUAGCGGCGGACGGGUGAGUAACACGUGGGCAACCUGCCUGUAAGACUGGGAUAACAUCGGGAAACCGAUGCUAAUACCGGAUAAUCCUUUUCCUCUCAUGAGGAAAAGCUGAAAGUCGGUUUACGCUGACACUUACAGAUGGGCCCGCGGCGCAUUAGCUAGUUGGUGAGGUAACGGCUCACCAAGGCGACGAUGCGUAGCCGACCUGAGAGGGUGAUCGGCCACACUGGGACUGAGACACGGCCCAGACUCCUACGGGAGGCAGCAGUAGGGAAUCUUCCACAAUGGACGAAAGUCUGAUGGAGCAACGCCGCGUGAGCGAUGAAGGCCUUCGGGUCGUAAAGCUCUGUUGUUAGGGAAGAACAAGUAUCGGAGUAACUGCCGGUACCUUGACGGUACCUAACCAGAAAGCC